UCUCCAGGAUGGGCACUUCUCCAUCAGGAGAAGGAAUUGGUGCUCAAACUUCUCCACUCAGAGAGGUUCCGGUGGCUCCGUCGGUCCUUCAGCAGCUCCUGGAGGUGGACUGGAAGCUCCUCCACCAUCUCCUGGAGGUGGAGAGCUCAGAGGGGUUGAGGCUCCUCCAGGAAGCUCUGGAGAUGGGUUGAGGGGUUCCUGAAGCAUCUCCUGGAGUUGGGAGAGCCCAGAGGGCUCCUCCACCAUCUCCUGGAGGUGGACUGGAAGCUCCUCCAGAUCUCCUGAGGUGGACCGGAAGCUCCUCCAGAUCUCCUGGAGGUGGACUGGAAGCUCCUCCACCAUCUCCUGGAGGUGGAAGAGCCCAUCUGGUUUGGGGCUCCUCCAGGAACCCCCGGAGAUGGGUUGAAGGGUUCCUGAAGCAUCUCCUGGAGAAGGGAGAGACCAACGAGUUUGGGGGUCCUCCAGCAUCUCCUGGAGUUGGGAGAGCCCAGAAGGGUUGGAGGCUCCUCGAGAUCUCCUGAGGUGGACCUGAAGCUCCUCCAACAUCUCCUGGAGCAGUUUGGAGCUCCUCCAGCAUCUCCUGGAGGUGGAAGAGCCCAUCUGGUUUGGGGCUCCUCCAGGAAGCCCUGGAGAUGGGUUGAAGGGUUCCUGAAGCAUCUCCUGGAGAAGGGAGAGACCAACGAGUUUGGGGGUCCUCCAGCAUCUCCUGGAGUUGGGAGAGCCCAGAAGGGUUGGAGGCUCCUCCAGAUCUCCUGAGGUGGACCUGAAGCUUCUCCACCAUCUCCUGGAGCAGUUUGGAGCUCCUCCAGCAUCUCCUGGAGUUGGGAGAGCCCCAGAAGGGUUGGAAGCUCCUCCAAAAUCUCCUGGAAGUGGACUGGAAAGUCCUUCCACCAUCUCUUGAGGUGGACUGGAAGGUCCUCCAUCAUCUCCUGGAGCAAAGAGAGGAACGCUGUAUCUCCUCCGGGUUCCAACCUGAGUCCCACCUCCACUCCAGAACCUCCUGGAGGAGAAGGAGGAGGAGAAGGAGGAGGAGAAGGAGGAGGAGAAGGACAUCUUCUCUGGAGGAGUUUCCGCUGAGGAAAUGUUUGAGGUGGGAACUGCUCUGACGGUGG